rnacentral:rRNA from 1 species
UGGGGAAUAUUGGACAAUGGGCGAAAGCCUGAUCCAGCCAUGCCGCGUGUGUGAAGAAGGCCUUUUGGUUGUAAAGCACUUUAAGUGGGGAGGAAAAGCUUGUGGUUAAUACCCAUAAGCCCUGACGUUACCCACAGAAUAAGCACCGGCUAACUCUGUGCCAGCAGCCGCGGUAAUACAGAGGGUGCAAGCGUUAAUCGGAAUUACCGGGCGUAAAGCGCGCGUAGGUGGUUAUUUAAGUCAGAUGUGAAAGCCCCGGGCUUAACCUGGGAACUGCAUCUGAUACUGGAUAACUAGAGUAGGUGAGAGGGGAGUAGAAUUCCAGGUGUAGCGGUGAAAUGCGUAGAGAUCUGGAGGAAUACCGAUGGCGAAGGCAGCUCCCUGGCAUCAUACUGACACUGAGGUGCGAAAGCGUGGGUAGCAAACAGGAUUAGAUACCCUGGUAGUCCACGCCGUAAACGAUGUCUACCAGUCGUUGGGUCUUUUAAAGACUUAGUGACGCAGUUAACGCAAUAAGUAGACCGCCUGGGGAGUACGGCCGCAAGGUUA